UACGGAGGGUGCAAGCGUUAUCCGGAUUCACUGGGUUUAAAGGGUGCGUAGGUGGGCAGGUAAGUCAGUGGUGAAAUCUCCGGGCUUAACCCGGAAACUGCUAUUGAUACUAUCUGUCUUGAAUACCGUGGAGGUGAGCGGAAUAUGUCAUGUAGCGGUGAAAUGCUUAGAUAUGACAUAGAACACCAAUUGCGAAGGCAGCUCACUACACGAAUAUUGACACUGAGGCACGAAAGCGUGGGGAUCAAACAGG
rnacentral:rRNA from 1 species